UACGUAGGGUGCGAGCGUUGUCCGGAAUUAUUGGGCGUAAAGAGCUUGUAGGUGGUUUGUCGCGUCUGCUGUGAAAAUCCGAGGCUCAACCUCGGACUUGCAGUGGGUACGGGCAGACUAGAGUGUGGUAGGGGAGAUCGGAAUUCCUGGUGUAGCGGUGAAAUGCGCAGAUAUCAGGAGGAACACCGGUGGCGAAGGCGGAUCUCUGGGCCGUAACUGACGCUGAGGAGCGAAAGCAUGGGUAGCGAACCGG
rnacentral:rRNA from 1 species